GGUUUAACAUACUCUGAGUUUAAUCCUGCGCUCUGAGUUGGUUGACUCAGAGUUCAGGGUUGAAAAGCAACUCUGGGUUUUCGGUUUCAGAACAGGUGAUCAGCGUUGGGUUAUUCAACUCUGAGUAUGUUCACUCUGGGUUGAGGGCGUGCCUGUUGACUAUGAAGAGCCAUCAUCAAUGGAUCUCUGAUAACAUGAUCAAACAUGGACCAAAAGCGUAGAUUCUAAUGAACGCGUAUGCCGAGCAGUUACCCAUUUUAACAAAUGGGUAACUGCUCCCGCGGCAGCGAGAGCGUGAGAGAGAGCUCGGCAGGAAAUAGCUGAACAAGUCAAUGCAAACAACCCGAGUUGCCCCAAGAGGACUUGGCAGCAAAUGAAGAUGAAGUACAAAAAUAUAGUUCAAACAGCAAAUCGAAAAAAAGCAGAGCCCCGGCAGACUGGAGGGGGUCCACCUCUGCAGCCCUCACAGAGGCUGAGGAGAUGGCCCUCAGCCAACAGAGUAUGCGUCCUGUGGCUGAGGGCAUCCCUGGGGGGAGCUCCUCUGAUCCCCCCCCACCCCCCAGGAUAGAAGUGCCUUUAUAAGAGUUACUGAUGGUGUCAUUGCCCUACUUGAACCAGAUGCCCUCACCAACCUCCAUGCAAUUGUAACAAUUCUUCACCUUCCACAGAUUAUUAAUAAUGUCUUGGUAAUUGCUGAACACAACCGUUAAUGUCAUUACAGGAAGAUGAUGGAGAACAUUGUCUGCGGCAUUCGAAAGGGAAGAGGAAAGGCCUAUUGAGGUUAACACCUUUUAAAAAUAACCUCUAAAAGUUGAUGAUAGCGUUGUACAAUUUAAAACUGACAUCUACUUUCUCUCAAACAGGAUGAAAUCGAAUCCAAUGAGAGGCCAUCCACUUCUAAAUCAGAGCUUACCUCUGUAAGAUUCUCCCUGGAAUUAUAAUGAAAAGCUCUACUUGGCAGUGUGAAAUCCAAUCUCAUAUUUUGCAUUCCUAUAGCUUCCAGUCAAAGACUUAUAUAAAAUCUAUCUAGAAAAGCAAAUACACAAAGCAGACUUGGAAAUGGACCACCUUAGGCAAAAGAUGCAAAAGGAUGCUUUGGAGUGUGUGUGUGUGUUAAAGUUAAAGGUGGGUGAGGUGCAAACUGGGAUACUGUUCCCUGCUCUAAAAACAUACCCAAUAUGAAUGACUUUUUUUGUGCUUUCAGGAAAUAAAGAAAUCCUCAUAAAAAGUAGAUUGUCUUUAUUAGAACACGGGCUGUGGUGGGACAAGUUAUUUUGUUGAACAGUUUACUCAAAGGGUUUUACUCCAGUGAACAAUGCAGACGAUUAUGCGGAGCAUGUGCAUGUAGAGAAGAAGCAUCUGGUUAAAAGCAGUACCAGGGUAUUUCCUGCCUUGCAUUCUUAAUAUGCUUUUCUUGACUUGCAGCAGUUAUAGGUGGUUA